rnacentral:tRNA from 1 species
UGCGCAAGGUCGACGAAGACUACGGUGACGACUGGUGGUUCAAGGUCUGGGGGCCGGAGUUCCAGCGCGCCCAGGAGGGCAAUGAA